rnacentral:tRNA from 1 species
ACUAAAAUAGUUUAGAUGAAAAUUUUAAUUUGUGGGAUUAAAGAUGAUGGUAAGAAUCUUUUAGUA